UUGUAGAACCCUAAGAGUUUGUUUGCAUUGUUUUUAAAGCUCUAGUUAGGCUGUAUCAGGAGACUUCUGUGGUUUGGAAGAGCAUUUCAUGAAAUUCCAUCUGUUAAGACUUACGUUGCAGAGUGGCAUCAUGGGGGUGCCGUGCAUCCGUAGGAGGAAGGACUUGGGGUGCUUUAGGUCUUUGGAAAUAUGCCAGGAAUUAUUGUAACUCCGUACUCCGCUCCGCUUCCUUUCUAGUUUGAGACGUGGAUGCUUACGAUUGUUUAACCGUGUCCAUCCACCAUGAAAUGGGGCCCUCGUCAAAGGCUUAAACAAAUUGGCCUAAUCUUGGACUUUAACCUUCAGAAACAAUAGCCAGAAUAAGCCUAAACUUCACAAGUAGCUUAUCAAGUAUUUCGUUAUCGUUAUGUGAGGCUCAGUGAUACAGAGGAAUGGGCUGGAAAGAGAUGGGGGGGGGGGACUCACCUCCGUUCUUACGUUCUCAGCACUCAUUUACUGUAUUUGCAUAGCCCACGGCAUUCCAGACAACCUGUUCUCACAGAGAUCGGUCCAGUGUUGUCGCAGUUUAAAAACAAAUCUGACCACAUUCCCAUUCUUCUGAAUUGAUUCAGAGAUGGGAAAAGACAAGGCGCUAGGACGCGGUCCUCUUCGCUGAAGCGAAGUACAAGGGUAGCCUGCUCGUCUCCGGAAUCCCUGGGCUUUGGAGCCCAGUUGUAAAUAGCAUUGACUCUAGCAGAGCUGGAGCUAGGAAACGGCUGAUAAAAGGACUGGGACUUAAGCGGCUGAAAAAGAAAAAUUCACCUUAUGGGCCUGGCUGAGACAGUAAGACUGCUGUUUUGGAUACUUCUGCCUUCAAUGCUAUGGAGACCUGGUUUAAACUUAUCUCAAUAGGCUUCCACUUGGCUGGCAGACACAUCUAAGCCUCAGUAGCUGACUGCAACCUGCUCUAAAUGGGCCUGGGCCCUGGACUUCCUGAAAGCUGAUGUGGACCGCCAGUCCAGCUGAUGUGAACACUCCCUGCUCCUUCUACAAAGUCGGAUGAGUGCCCUAUUGCCUAAAUGUCCUUCCCCCCCACCUUUGGCUAGCCUUUCAACCUGCUUGGGCCUGGAUAACAGCACCCCAGUGUCAGCUUGAAGUAGUUGCAGAAAGAAACACGUCAUCCCAUGCCCCCUGCCCAAAAUAGAUUGAAAGACUGAGACAAGUGGGAACUCCCCGGCAUGGGGGACAGGAUAACUGUCUAUAGUGCCUGUUCAUGCCUCCUUAAAACCAAGGGCAAGUAGGACCCAAGAUUGAGUCCUGUAAUCAGUGCUUGUGAAGGGGGAAGUGUGGGGGCCAGCCAUAAGCUAAGUAUGGGCAGGUCACCCAAAGGAAGUUCUUUACUUCCAACCAUUGUCACCUGCCAGUGUGGAACUCGGCCAUCGAUAAAUUUAAUAAGAGGCCCGAAUCUUAGUAGUUUACCCUGAAGCAAUACCUGAUUGCAGAAAGAACCACAAACUGAGAUUACCUAGCACCACCCCAAAACAGACCGUCCAAAGGAAAGGCCUAACAUUCCAACUGCUGUAGAUAGGACUACCUGUCAGUACACACUCACCAGGACACCCCUAGACAAAUGUCAGCCGGUCAGGGGUCCUAAAUCUCAGAAACCCCUCACCCCCACCUUUACUACUAUAAAAACCCAAUUCUA